rnacentral:tmRNA from 1 species
CCUCUUUUCACACGAGGGUAAUAUCCUUAUAUUCGGCUCGCCGGGCAUUCGUCCGGCUAUGGCGAUAAACGUUCGAUGGAAUAAGCCUUUCGGACCCGGGGGCGGUACCCGGCGCCUCCACCACAUGCCAGAGCGGCGGUUCUGGCAUGUGGCGGGGGCGAAAUAGGAUCGACGAGGGUGUAAAGAUCGAAUUUUCGCUCGGCAUGGUUCCGCCGUUAUCGGGCCGAAAAAAUAGUUGCCAACGACAACUAUGCGGAAGCUCGUCUCGCUGCGUAAGCAGCGCGAACGCUUCAAUUCAAGUCCUGGGGGUUCGCACUUCUAGGCGGGGCUCGGAGGCGCCUGGCAACAGAAGCCUCCACU